ncrna:Ateles geoffroyi (black-handed spider monkey) microRNA age-mir-205 precursor
UUCUCUUGUCCUUCAUUCCACCGGAGUCUGUCUCAUACCCAACCAGAUUUCAGUGGAGUGAAGUCAGGAGGCA